GGGAUUUUGAUGAGGCAACUGAACCCAAUCAGUUCUCAGUGGCAGCAUAAGGCCACCCGCUCUUGAGGCUUAUCUCACACUGUGUGAUUUGAUCCCUGCUGGGGCGGCAGCGUGGGCUCAGAAAGCCCGGCUGAGAACUGUGGUUCUGUCCCAGUCGCUUAGGGCAGCUCAUUUAUUCUCUCCGAGCCCGUUUCCCACCAGUAAAGCGGGGACAGCAGUGCCUAGUUUACAGGGUUACUGUUCGAAACUAAGCGCUGUAGAAACAGGUGUGUGGGGGCCACAAUCACCAAGCAGGCGAUUGGAGUGCCACCCCGUUUUGCACAAGAGGAACCCGCGGCUCGGGGACAGUAAGGGACCUCCCGGGCCCAUAGUCCACGCGCGCCCCACCCGGACCCAUCAGCAAGCCGACCUCUCUGCCCGCCCACGUCCGGCUUCCUUUCGAUGUCGACGGGAGGAAACGGUCACGCAGGCCACCAACCGGCGGUGGAGGGCGCGGUGCCGAGUCCUGCCACUGCAGGGUCGCCCCGCUGGCUCGAGCUCUAGAAGCGUAGACCUCCCCAGCCGCAAAAAGCAAUUCACGCGGCGAAACCGCGGACUCUUUUGACCCUUCCGAGCUACCAUUUACUUUCCAUAGAAGGGCGGGACUUCCUGUUUCGCUUUUAUCUGGUCUCGCUCUUCCGCCCAGUCUCGAGUGCAGUGGUGAGAACACGGCUUACUGCAGCCUCAAAAUCCUGGACCCAAAAGAUCCUCCCACCUCAGCCUGCCUCCCAGGUAGCUGGGACUACAGGCGCACAACACCAUCGCUUCUUGGAUUAAAAGAAAAGGAUGAAACGGGCCCCAGAAAGAGGCGGUGA
rnacentral:lncRNA from 1 species